rnacentral:rRNA from 1 species
CAGGUGGUGCAUGGUUGUCGUCAGCUCGUGUCGUGAGAUGUUGGGUUAAGUCCCGCAACGAGCGCAACCCUUAUUGUUAGUUGCCAUCAUUNAGUUGGGCACUCUAGCAAGACUGCCGGUGACAAACCGGAGGAAGGUGGGGAUGACGUCAAAUCAUCAUGCCCCUUAUGACCUGGGCUACACACGUGCUACAAUGGGAAGUACAACGAGUUGCGAAGUCGCG